rnacentral:misc_RNA from 1 species
GCAAACUUGGUCAUUUAGAGGAAGUAAAAGUCGUAACAAGGUUUCCGUAGGUGAACCUGCGGAAGGAUCAUUACCGAAUGGACCUGCACCUCGCCUUCUGCGUGGGUGCUCAUUGGCGCCUCUUGAUCUUGAUCUUGGUGCUCAUCACUCCUCACCACAAGGUUGGGGUUGGGUUGGGUUGCCACUUUCAAGAUGUCCUAUGCUACACACAAACCUUGUCAUUGUAUGGUGUUGAACAUUGAACAUGCAAUACAACUUUCAACAACGGAUCUCUUGGCUCUCGCAUCGAUGAAGAACGCAGC